AGCGGCGGACCAUUCAUUUUAUCUGCUCACCCUCUCUCAAGGGUUCUCUCUCCUCCGUCACUCCGUCAGGGGCAUCUGCUUCAAUCCCCCCACCACCGGCAUGCACAUCUAGUCUCCUGGAGGACAUUUUUGGGGGUUCAAGUCCAGAUCAGAGACCUAGUUCUCUCUCUCUCUCUCUCUAGGGCUCCUUUCUUUCCCCACGCGUUCAGCUGUGAUGCGGGAGGGGGCGACGCCGGGGAGCUCUCUCUCUCUCUCUAGGGCUCCUUUCUUUCCCCACGCGUUCAGCUGCGAUGCUCGCAUCCCCCUCGCCGGCAGCGUGCACUCCCGGAUGCUGCCCCCCCCCCCCGCGCGGGGCGGUAUAGGGAUCGGCGGCGCAGAUUAGGCCCAGAGGUCUUGGCGUUCAGAGUGCGCCUGGCGGCGGCGCCAGUGUAGAAAGAACCCGUGCUGGGGUUCAGCUUCGCCGGGUGGCUGCAAUCAGCUGAGUUGAUCAAGGUGGAUAGCAGCGGCUCGUCUUCUGGCUCUGACAAAGAUAUGAGCUGACUUGAAGAAGAAAUUAAAGAGGGCACGAGUCUGUGCAAUCAGCAGCUGUCUAGUGAUUGCAGAUUCAGACACUGGCACAUCUGACAUCUCUUGAUUAUUAAUCUGCUCUUUGAUCAACUAAAAACAGAGUAAUGUGGUAUAUCAACCUCUCUUUUUUUUCUCUGCUUCUUGUUUUCUCAGUAGGCAACAAUACAUUUUAGUAUAUAGCAUUUUACUUCAUUAGGAAAUAAAAAUGAAUAGGAACUUUAGAAAUAAAUAUGGUUCUGCAUUAUCCAAAAAUAUAAUUCAUUAGGCAUUAAUAUGGUUCUGAUUAGGCAAUAAUAUGGUUCUUAACCAGGCAAAAUAGUUUACUUCAUUGGGCAAUGUUUAAUUUAGAAUUUAAGAAUUCAUUUUCAUUGGUUGUUUAAAGUGCAAGGUAAUAUAAAACUAUCAGCACUGGUAUUUAACACAGAACCUAGUUCCUUAGCCUGACCACAUGGGAGUUAAUGCUAUGUGCGCAGUCAUCUUGAGAGUAUAUAUUCAAAAUUCAUUAGGCUAUAAUAUGGACUAAUUUAGGCAGUUAUGUGGUUUUUAAUUAGGCAAUAAUAUGGCACUGAAAAAGUAAUAUAGUUUACUUCAUUAGGUAAUGUUAUUGGACAUGUAAUUUUUAGUAUUUUGUAUAGAGAUUGCAGCAUUCCCACUAGAUCUAAAAGAAAAAACUAUUGUUCUGUUUUUGAAGCAUGAUCUGAACUAUUAUCACAAAGAAAUAGGAGCAUUCCUACUAGAACCCAUAUGUUGCUCUUUUCAUUAGACUUGUACUUCCUUUUUUCUGUAUUGGAUUGGGGGGUAGGGGUAUCACACUCUUUGGCAAACAUUCAUGAUAGCAUGGAUAAAUUUAAUUCACACUGUCAUAUUUUUAUUUUUCAAGGGUGCUUCCUAAUUUUUUUAAAAAAACUAAAAUCUAGUUGUUAGACUAUGCAGCCUUGUUUUCUUUUUCUAUACACAUUAUGCAGCUAGCCUACUCGGCUCUUUUCCUCUUAUUGUGGCAGUAUUUGUGCUAGAUCCUACAAUUUUUUAUGAUACAAGCACCAUUGGUUUUUUAUUAGGUAAUAAUAUAUAUAGAAAUUAGGCAAUAAUAUUAUUUCAGAUAGGCAACAAUAUGUGUUAAAAUAAGUAUUUUUUGAUAGAAGGUUACAUGCGGAUUCUUAAUGCCGCUAGUAACAGGAACAACAACAGUUCGUUUAAUAUGUAUGUGCAAUAGGAUACUGAACUCAUUUUAAUUAGGUCUAGUAAUAGCAACAACAACCGUUUGUUUAAUUAUUCAUUAGGAAAAAUAUACUACUAAAUUAGGCAACUUAUGCUACAUCAAUAAGCAAUUUAUCCACUGUGGUUCAACACUUCUAUAUUCUGGUUCUAGUAGUCUUUUCAUAUGUCGCUGAAUUUUGCUAUUUUAGUGUACAGAUUAAUUUCUAAAAAAAAGUCAGUUUGUAUUUGCUUUGCAAAAUGGUGCGGCUGCUGCGACGCGAGGCAGCUCGUGCAUCCACAUGCAGUAUGCCCUGAAAACCAAAUCUGUUCCUAUCAUUCCUAAUAUUUUCAUGCAUUUUCAUGUUGGUCUUUAGCAGAAGGCAAAUUUAUAUAUUUCGUUAGGCAAUAAUACUUGUUAGCAGAGGCAAAUUCAUGCAUCUGAUUAGACAACUUUAAUUUAUUAUACUUUUUUACAUCUAAAGCAUUUUACCCUGUUAUGCUAUUAUGUGAUUUCUGAAUUAGGCAAUAAUUAUUUCAGCAGAAGGCAAAUUCAUGUAUUACAUUAGGCAACUUCAUUGAAUAAUCCAUUAUUUUUGCCUGCUUGUUUGUUUUAAAUUGCUCCUGAGUUUAUUAUAAUAUGCCUACAAGCAAGAAUGCUUAUUGUUGUAAAGUAUCAUCAAAACAUAUAGUUGAGCAAAAUGUUAUGUUCAUUCAUCAUGGGAGUUUAUCUAUGCUAAUACACCACUUUUAACUGUUCUCUAUCCUGAUACUAUGAAAUAAUAUGAUUCAUGAUAGGCAAAAUAGUGUACUUCAUUAGGUAAUCUUUUAUCGAGCAUUUCAUAAUUUUUCUUUUAUUGGCAGCCUUGAGUAAUAUGUUACAUACAACUACUAGUAUCUCUGCAGUUGACAAAAUGAGGAUAAGAUGCAGCUUCAUGGGUGAACAAGAACUGAAAUAACGCUAUACUUAGCUGCCAGUGUGUUUUGGAGGGUAGCAUCCUCUAGAUUGAUGCCUAAUUGGUCCCAAAUUCCGUUCUGAAUCCACAAUGUUUUAGUUUCACUACAAUGAUUCAAAAACAUGUAUGGUUUUUGGGCUCUACAUGCCCUUCCUCAUCACCUAGUAAUGCAUCAUCAGCGCGACACUAUACAUUCAUAAGAGAAAUGUAACAAUUUUGAGGUUUGGCAAAUCAAUAUAUUAUCUGUGCAAUUUUUGUUGCUUC